AACGAACGCUGGCGGCAUGCCUAACACAUGCAAGUCGAACGAGACCUUCGUGUCUAGUUGCGCACGGGUGCGUAACGCGGGGGAACCUUCCCGUAGGUUCGGGAUAACUCCCCGUAAGGGGUGCUAAUACCGGAUAAUGUCCUCUGACCAAAGAUUUGUCGACUUUGGAUGGGCCCGAGUUGUUUUAGCUAGGUGGUAGGGUAAAAGCCUAUCAAGGCGUCGAUCCUUAGCUGGGCUGAGAGGAUGAUCGGCCACACUGGGACUGAGGCACGGUCCAGACUCCUACGGGAGGCAGCAGUGGCGAAUACUGGACAAUGGGCGAAAGCCUGAUCCAGCUAUGCCGCGAGAGUCAUGAAGGCGUUAGGGUUGUACAGCUCUUUUACACGGGAUGGUACUGACAGUACCGGGAGAAUAAGCACCGGCUAACUCCGUG
rnacentral:rRNA from 1 species